rnacentral:rRNA from 1 species
UACGUAGGGAGCAAGCGUUAUCCGGAUUUACUGGGUGUAAAGGGCGCGUAGGCGGGAUGGCGAGUCAGAUGUGAAAUCCAGGGGCUCAACCCCUGAACUGCAUUUGAAACUGUCGUUCUUGAGUACUGGAGAGGUUGACGGAAUUCCUAGUGUAGCGGUGAAAUGCGUAGAUAUUAGGAGGAACACCAGUGGCGAAGGCGGUCAACUGGACAGCAACUGACGCUGAGGCGCGAAAGCGUGGGGAGCAAACGGG